rnacentral:rRNA from 1 species
AGCUCCAAUAGCGUAUAUUAAAGUUGCUGCAGUUAAAAAGCUCGUAGUUGACAAUCGGCGCUCGUCUCGGCGGUCCUGUUCACGCAGGCACUGCCUUGACGGCCUCUACACACUGGCUUAUGGCCGUGCAUGCUCAGCGAUGGGUGGUACGUGUCAAAGCCCCGGGUGUCCUUCACUGGGUGCCCGUGGGUGGCCUUUGCGUUUACUUUGAAGAAAUUAGAGUGUUCAAAGCGGGCUCUUGAUAGCUCGAAUAUUCGUACAUGGAAUAAUGGAAUAGGACCCUGGUUCAUUCUGUUGGUCUCUGGACAUUGGGUAAUGAUUAAAAGGGACUGCCGGGGGCAUUAGUAUGGCGGGGGGAGAGGUGAAAUUCUGUGAUCCUCGCCAGACUGACUACAGCGAAAGCAUUUGCCAAGAAUGUCUUCA